rnacentral:rRNA from 1 species
UGGGGAAUCUUGCGCAAUGGGGGAAACCCUGACGCAGCGACGCCGCGUGCGGGAUGAAGGCCUUCGGGUUGUAAACCGCUUUCAGCAGGGACGAGGCCUUAUGGUGACGGUACCUGCAGAAGAAGCUCCGGCUAAAUACGUGCCAGCAGCCGCGGUAAUACGUAUGGAGCAAGCGUUAUCCGGAUUCAUUGGGCGUAAAGCGCUCGUAGGCGGUCUGUCAGGUCGGCAAGUUAAAUCCGGGGGCUCAACCCCCGUCCGCUUCCGAUACCGGCAGACUUGAGUUUGGUAGGGGAAGGUGGAAUUCCUAGUGUAGCGGUGGAAUGCGCAGAUAUUAGGAAGAACACCGGUGGCGAAGGCGGCCUUCUGGGCCAUAACUGACGCUGAGGAGCGAAAGCUAGGGGAGCGAACAGG